rnacentral:rRNA from 1 species
GAUGAACGCUGGCGGCGUGCCUAAUACAUGCGAGUCGAGCGAACAGACGAGGAGCUUGCUCCUCUGACGUUAGCGGCGGACGGGUGAGUAACACGUGGAUAACCUACCUAUAAGACUGGGAUAACUUCGGGAAACCGGAGCUAAUACCGAAUAAUAUAUUGAACCGCAUGGUUCAAUAGUGAAAGACGGUUUUGCUGUCACUUAUAGAUGGAUCCGCGCCGCAUUAGCUAGUUGGUAAGGUAACGGCUUACCAAGGCAACGAUGCGUAGCCGACCUGAGAGGGUGAUCGGCCACACUGGAACUGAGACACGGUCCAGACUCCUACGGGAGGCAGCAGUAGGGAAUCUUCCGCAAUGGGCGAAAGCCUGACGGAGCAACGCCGCGUGAGUGAUGAAGGUCUUCGGAUCGUAAAACUCUGUUAUUAGGGAAGAACAAAUGUGUAAGUAACUAUGCACGUCUUGACGGUACCUAAUCAGAAAGCCACGGCUAACUACGUG